rnacentral:lncRNA from 9 species
CAAAUUCCAACCUGAAACCAAAGGCCACAUGCCCCUGUUAAUGAUUAAGCCUCUGGAAUGGGCGCUGAGGGCGCUGAGCUGCAGGGAGAGGUGCCUGGCGGGGGGCCCAGCGCUGGCCCUGCCCAGUGGGAGCUGGUUCCUGCCUCGUGGGGGAGGGGCAACGCUUCUCCAUCAAGGGAAAGCUAAAUAUUGUCUAAUCCCGGCACCCGGCACCCGGGAUGGCAAACAGACCUCCCAUUGUCUGUCAGGAAGCAGGUCACGGCCACGGCCCAGGCUACGCCCACCUGAGGGUUUGGGAUCCAUCCUCGGAGCGGCCGGGGCUGCCGUCCCAGCUCUGCCGUGUUUCAGCUGUCGAGCGAGGUCUCUAAGCCUCAGUUUCCUCCUUCGUAAAGUGGACCACGGUACAGACCUCGGGGCGUCCUGAGGCUUAAAGAGACAACGCGCAUCAAGCAUGGAGCACGGUCACCACGGCACGUGGUGAGUGUGCAACGUGCAAGAGCUCAUAUAUAUAUAUAUAUAUAUAUAUAUAUAUAUAUACAUUUUUUAAGAGCUAUUUUUAAAAUCACCAUGAUAGGGAGUUCCCUUUGUGGCUCAGCAGUUAAUGAACCCGACUAGGAUCCAUGAGGAUGCAGGUUCCAACCCUGGCCUCGUUCAGUGGGUUAAGGAUCCAGCGUUGCCAUGAGCUGUGGUGUAGGUCGCAGAUGCAGCUUGGAUCUGGCGUGGCUGUGGCUGUGGUGGAGGCCGGCGGCUACGGCUCGGAUUGGACCCCUAGCCUGGGAACCCCCGUAUGCCGUGGGCAGGGCCCCAAAAAGACAAAAUGAAAUAAAUAAAUAAAUGGUGCGAUGCUGUAGGUUUGCACGUAUUUGGAAGGUUGAGCAACCACGACUCUCACUCCGUCGUUUCCAUCACCCGGGAGAAGCCCUGUGCCGGUCAGCAGUUGCAUUUCUCCCACUUCUCUUCUCCACCCCCUGGGCAUCCACGACUCUUCCUUCCCUGUGCACUUGCCGCGUCUGGACAUUUCACCUAAGCAGAGUCGUGCACCGCGUGCUUUCUGGUGUGGCUGGCUUCUUUCCCUUCGCACAAAUCGUUCAGGGGUAAAGCCUGUCUCGACUUCAUCCCCUUUAGAGGAUUAAUAGUCCAUUGUGUGGACAAACUUUGUUUAACCAAUUCCCCAGCUGCCCGGCCUUUGGGCAGCUUUCCCCUUUUGGCUGCGGUGAAUGACGCUGCCGUGAACAUUUGCGUACAGGUUUCUGUGCCGACGUGUUUUCAUUUCUCUCAGGCACAUACCUAGCAAUGGAAUCGCCGUUUCUACGGCAGAGGGAAGGUUAUUUAAAGUCACCAAAAAAGCUGAAAAGUAGGAAGGAGGGUGAGUACAGUUGACCCUUGAACAGCAUGGGUUUGAACAGCGUGAGUCCACUUAUUUGGAGAGUUUUUUGUUCUUAUUAGUUUUUUUUUUUUGCUUUGCUUUCUAGGGUCGCACCUGCGGCAUAUGGAGGUUCCCAGGCUUGGGAUCCAAUUGGAGCGGCAGCUGCCGCCUUAUGCCAC